CAAAAGGGAAACAGCCCAGAUCGUCAGCUAAGGUCCCAAAGUGUAAGUUAAGUGGGAAAGGAUGUGAGAUUUCUAAGACAACUAGGAUGUUGGCUUAGAAGCAGCCAUUCAUUAAAAGAGUGCGUAAUAGCUCACUAGUCGAGAGAUCUUGCGCCGAAAAUGUAACGGGGCUAAACUUACCACCGAAGCUACGGGCUUGAACUUAGUUCAAGCGGUAGGAGAGCGUCGUAACCGGGCUGAAGUCGUACCGUAAGGAGCGGUGGACUGGUUACGAGUGAGAAUGUUGGCAUCAGUAGCGAGAUGUGGGUGAGAAUCCCACAGGCCGAAAACCUAAGGUUUCCUCAGGAAGGUUCGUCCGCUGAGGGUUAGUCGGGACCUAAGCCGAGGCCGAAAGGCGUAGGUGAUGGACAACUGGUUGAUAUUCCAGUACCACUACCAUCGUUAUUAUCGAUGGCGUGACGCAGGAGGAUAGUGUGUGCUAGCUAUUGGAUGCUAGUCUAAGCGUUUAGGCAGUGAGAGUAGGCAAAUCCGCUCUCAUAAUGCUGAGGCGUGAUGGGGAAGGUUCCACGGAACCGAAGUACAUGAUUCCACGCUGCCAAGAAAAGCGUCUAGAGAGAGAAGUAGUGCCCGUACCGCAAACCGACACAGGUAGGUGAGGAGAGAAUCCUAAGGCCGGCGGAAGAAUUACAGUUAAGGAACUCGGCAAAUUGACCCCGUAAGUUCGCGAGAAGGGGUGCCUACGAGAGUAGGCCGCAGAGAAUAGGCCCAAGCAACUGUUUAGCAAAAACACAGGUCUCUGCUAAAGCGUAAGCUGAUGUAUAGGGGCUGACGCCUGCCCGGUGCUGGAAGGUUAAGGGGAACACUUAGCGCAAGCGAAGGUGUGAACUUAAGCCCCAGUAAACGGCGGCCGUAACUAUAACGGUCCUAAGGUAGCGAAAUUCCUUGUCAGGUAAGUUCUGACCCGCACGAAUGGCGUAAUGACUUGGGCACUGUCUCAACUGUAAAUCCGGCGAAGUUGUAGUGCGAGUGAAGAUGCUCGCUACCCGCGAUUGGACGGAAAGACCCCGUAGAGCUUUACUGUAGCUUAGCAUUGAGUUUUGGUAUUGUCUGUACAGGAUAGGUGGGAGACUAGGAAACCAGGGCGUCAGCCUUGGUGGAGUCAACCUUGGGAUACCACCCUGACAGUACUGAAAUUCUAACUGGCGGCCAUGAAUCUGGUCACAGGACAUUGUUAGGUGGGCAGUUUGACUGGGGCGGUCGCCUCCUAAAAAGUAACGGAGGCGCCCAAAGGUUCCCUCAGAACGGUCGGAAAUCGUUCGAAGAGUGCAAAGGCAGAAGGGAGCCUGACUGCGACACCCACAAGUGGAGCAGGGACGAAAGUCGGGCUUAGUGAUCCGGUGGUACCUCGUGGGAGGGCCAUCGCUCAACGGAUAAAAGCUACCUCGGGGAUAACAGGCUGAUCUCCCCCAAGAGUUCACAUCGACGGGGAGGUUUGGCACCUCGAUGUCGGCUCGUCGCAUCCUGGGGCUGUAGUCGGUCCCAAGGGUUGGGCUGUUCGCCCAUUAAAGCGGCACGCGAGCUGGGUUCAGAACGUCGUGAGACAGUUCGGUCCCUAUCCGUCGCGGGCGUAGGAAAUUUGAGAGGAGCUGUCCUUAGUACGAGAGGACCGGGAUGGACUGACCUAUGGUGUACCAGUUGUUUCGCCAGAAGCAUAGCUGGGUAGCUAAGUCGGGAAGGGAUAAACGCUGAAAGCAUCUAAGUGUGAAGCCAACCUCAAGAUGAGAUUUCCCAUAGCGUAAGCUAGUAAGAUCCCUUGAAGAACACAAGGUUGAUAGGUCGGGGGUGUAAGCAUGGUAACAUGUUCAGCUGACCGAUACUAAUAGAUCGAGGGCUUGACCAA
rnacentral:rRNA from 1 species